UACGUAGGGGGCAAGCGUUGUCCGGAUUUACUGGGCGUAGAGAGCGUGUAGGCGGCCAAACAGGUCCGUUGUGAAAACUGGAGGCUCAACUUCCAGACGUCGACGGAAACCGUGUGGCUAGAGUCCGGAAGAGGAGAGUGAAAUUCCUGGUGUAGCGGUGAAAUGCGCAGAUAUCAGGAAGAACACCAAUGGCGAAGGCAGCUCUCUGGGACGGUACUGACGCUGAGACGCGAAAGCGUGGGGAGCGAACAGG
rnacentral:rRNA from 1 species